rnacentral:rRNA from 1 species
AACGAACGCUGGCGGCAGGCUUAACACAUGCAAGUCGAGCGCCCCGCAAGGGGAGCGGCAGACGGGUGAGUAACGCGUGGGAACGUACCCUUAUCUUCGGAAUAGCUCCGGGAAACUGGAAUUAAUACCGAAUGUGCCCUUAGGGGGAAAGAUUUAUCGGAUAAGGAUCGGCCCGCGUUGGAUUAGCUAGUUGGUGGGGUAAAGGCCUACCAAGGCGACGAUCCAUAGCUGGUCUGAGAGGAUGAUCAGCCACAUUGGGACUGAGACACGGCCCAAACUCCUACGGGAGGCAGCAGUGGGGAAUAUUGGACAAUGGGCGCAAGCCUGAUCCAGCCAUGCCGCGUGAGUGAUGAAGGCCCUAGGGUUGUAAAGCUCUUUCAGUAGGGAAGAUAAUGACGGUACCUACAGAAGAAGCCCCGGCUAACUUCGUGCCAGCCGCCGCCGUAACAC